GCUCCUUGAUUCAGCGGCGGACGGGUGAGUAAUGCCUAGGAAUCUGCCUGGUAGUGGGGGACAACGUUUCGAAAGGAACGCUAAUACCGCAUACGUCCUACGGGAGAAAGCAGGGGACCUUCGGGCCUUGCGCUAUCAGAUGAGCCUAGGUCGGAUUAGCUAGUUGGUGGGGUAAUGGCUCACCAAGGCGACGAUCCGUAACUGGUCUGAGAGGAUGAUCAGUCACACUGGAACUGAGACACGGUCCAGACUCCUACGGGAGGCAGCAGUGGGGAAUAUUGGACAAUGGGCGAAAGCCUGAUCCAGCCAUGCCGCGUGUGUGAAGAAGGUCUUCGGAUUGUAAAGCACUUUAAGUUGGGAGGAAGGGCAGUAAGCUAAUACCUUGCUGUUUUGACGUUACCGACAGAAUAAGCACCGGCUAACUCUGUGCCAGCAGCCGCGGUAAUACAGAGGGUGCAAGCGUUAAUCGGAAUUACUGGGCGUAAAGCGCGCGUAGGUGGUUUGUUAAGUUGGAUGUGAAAGCCCCGGGCUCAACCUGGGAACUGCAUCCAAAACUGGCAAGCUAGAGUACGGUAGAGGGUGGUGGAAUUUCCUGUGUAGCGGUGAAAUGCGUAGAUAUAGGAAGGAACACCAGUGGCGAAGGCGACCACCUGGACUGAUACUGACACUGAGGUGCGAAAGC
rnacentral:rRNA from 1 species